rnacentral:lncRNA from 1 species
GACCCAACCGCCGCUAAUGGGGAAAGGGGGGGCGGGGGGGGAAGAGAGGGAAGGAGGGAGAGAGAGAGAGGGAAAUGUCACCCGGAGCCCGGGCCCGCGGGGGAGAGGUGGCGCGUUAGAGAUGUGUGUGGGAGAGAGGGAGCGAGAGAGAGGGAGAGAGAGGGGGAGCGAGACCUCCGCUGGCCCCGCGAACUUGUCAAGCAGAAGAGUGACCAAGUGGUCUUCUCCACAGCAGCCAUGAACUUCAACCUUGAACUGAAGAAGACUCAUCAAAUGGUGAGAAAAGAGUGUGGUUGUCAUGACUAUUAAGUUAGGGAUGCUCUAUUAUUUUUUCCUGUUUAGCACUGAUUUUUUUAUUUUAUAAGUAUUGAAGUUAGAUUUUUGUCGGGUAAUUUCUGGGACCAUAACUUAAUUUUUCCUCCACACCCUGUAUUUCAGCUGUUAAUUUUUCAAGCUUUGCUUUAUUCCUUGCUGUCCCUAACUUCAAAAAUAAUUGUUAGUGAUAUGCUGAAUUCAUUAGUAAAUUUCUUUAUUACUUUCUUUAGCCUUAGUCCUGUGCUUAACUCUGUUCACAUGAAUAUUUUUAUCAGUAGCACUAAAUUUGAAAUUCAGGAUAUAUGAAGCUGUUUGAAAGACUGAAAUUUAAAUUUUACAGAUGUGAAUGCCUGCAACUAAAUGAAAUGCUACUGAAAUGAAUGCAGGAGUGGGGGAUCUGAAAGUGCUUUUAGCUAGUAUUGGUUUGCUUGCUCUUUUGCAAUACCAUUUGUUUCUUUUAAGACUGAAAGAUGCAAGAUGUUAAUUUGCUUCUCUAAUUUCCCAGUUUCUGGGAAAUUUUGAACUCUGAACUUCACAACAUUUAUAAAAUUCUAGUAGUGUUCAUAAUUCUCCUGGGAAGAACAAAACAUUAUUUUGUUUAGCCAUUUUAUGAAAAGGUGACUGAAUAUAGAGUAACUACUUCUCUUUAUAUUUCACUGCCUUAGUCAGGUCUUUAAUCCUAGUCAUAAGAAUCACUAGGUAAUGAUUUUUAGAUGUAUGGAUUUAUUAAGCAUAGAUCUUAAAAAAUGAGGAUUUUCCUUUCUUUUAGAGAUAUAAAUAAAGGAUGUAGUAUCGGUAGCA